UCCACUCUUCCAUUGACUACAAGACAAGUGUCCCACUCAAAAGGGACAACUCACCUCCAACGGUAAGGGAGAAAAAGGAACAAAAGAAUUUGAUUUUGGGGGUUCUCUCCAAUCCAAUCACCCUCACUCGAACCCUCUCACCAAAAGAAAAAGGGAAAUAGAAAUAAGAAAAGAAAUAAAAAACAAAACAAAAAAAAGUCGUCCUCUUCUUCUAUUGUUCAUCUCCUCCUUCCGACUUCCAUCUCCCUAACAACUUCC
rnacentral:lncRNA from 1 species